rnacentral:rRNA from 1 species
UACGUAGGGUGCAAGCGUUGUCCGGAAUUAUUGGGCGUAAAGAGCUCGUAGGCGGUUUGUCGCGUCUGCUGUGAAAACCCGAGGCUCAACCUCGGGCCUGCAGUGGGUACGGGCAGACUAGAGUGCGGUAGGGGAGAUUGGAAUUCCUGGUGUAGCGGUGGAAUGCGCAGAUAUCAGGAGGAACACCAAUGGCGAAGGCAGAUCUCUGGGCCGUAACUGACGCUGAGGAGCGAAAGCAUGGGGGAGCGAACAGG